AAAAACAUAGUAUAAUAAAAUACAUUCCACUUACACUGAAAAUAUACUUAAUAAUAAGUUGUUUUUA
rnacentral:tRNA from 1 species